GAAAAGGACACCAUCUACUCGACACAAUUAUGCACAUCUACAGUACAUAUCUACACACUACCUCACUAGACAACAGACUACAGCCACAUCCACUGCCUCACAGUAGUCAUUGAAUAGAAACACAGAGGGCAUCAGGAUACUCGAUGAACAAGGGGUAGUUACUUCUCUUUAUGAAAGGUGUGGUUUGUUAUGUAAAGGGGAAACUAGGAUUUUUCUCAUGAGUGUUACGAAAUACCCAGGAGGCUGAGGAUAACAGAAAGACAGUUUUAUUCAGGCACAAGCAGAGGAGCGGGUAGUGCUGGGAAAAGUGAUAUGGAGACUGGCAGUGAUGAAUGGAUCCAUAGUAGAGGGGUAGAGACGUCAAGGUAGGGAGGUGUACCACACACACGCACGGAGAUGGCUGGGAACUUCUGGAGAUCGCUGGAGAGAGGGCAGCUUUCAGAGGGAUAGUCACGGACCUCAUGAAGAAAUCUGGUCUCUGUUUUCCUCUCAGCCCACACAUUACCUGCGUCUGUUCAUCUAAACCUUCUCCUCAAAAGCAGCUCAUGGACACUAUGUUCAUUGAAGAAAGCAAGUCAAUACAUGAGGGUGGGUAAUGAUGACAGAAUUACAGGCACACUACAAAAUCUAGUUACAGAAGAUGCUUCAAAACCAUCAUCAAGAUAAGUACUUUAAAAAACUGAAUAUGUUCUCACUUUGCAUUAUGUAUUUGAUACCCUAAAGGAACAGUUCAAUACAAUAGUGAAAAAUCUAAUUGCAAAUAUAAGUAAUAAAAUAAUAAAUCUGCAACA
ensembl:lncRNA